ACCCUGCUGAUGAGUCCAAAACAGGACGAAACAGCUGUUCAGUGC
rnacentral:hammerhead_ribozyme from 1 species